rnacentral:lncRNA from 1 species
GUGCUGUCCCAGGUCUCCGGACUUCGUGUCAGGCUGCAAGUUGGCAGCCAGGCUCAGAUAUGGGGUGAGGAUUCUGUUUUCAGGAGUACCACUCUCCUUUCUACUCCGGUUUUAGGCGCAGGAACAGACCCCACAGAGCUGAGCGGGAGGCAGGUGGGGAGUAGGGGCUGGAGAGAGCCUGGCCCUGCAGACCUGAGCAAGCCGCCCCUCAAGAUCAAAGUCUCUGACGCCUAUGCCUUAUGGUCUUGGGAACAUUGUGGCCUCACAGGAGCUGUAGGGCCCAUCCGUAGGGCCGGGGCCUGGUCACCCUUGAAGGCAGGCGCUGCAGACCUCAGCCUCAGAUCUGUCCCCAUCCCUGGGCGGGGCCUGCCUGGACACCUGGACACCCAGCUGCUGUCUCCCCACCCUCCUGUGGGUGCCUGGGUUUUCGCAUCAGUUCUUUUGGGAGCCAACACUCAUAGUAUGGCUGGCAUGAGCCUUCCUCGCCCCUCCCCACCCCCCGGGUGGGAUUCCUGCUGUCCCCACCCACCAUCCACCCCAUCAGAUGCCUCAGGUAUCGGCAGCACCACCUGGAUCCAGACCAUGUUCCCCAGCCUUGUCCUGACUACUUGUGGGCUUCUCUCCCGUCCCAAGGAGACCCGUGAGAGGUCCACGCUGCCUUCUUGCUCAGGUCUAUGGGGCACCGCCCCCGAUAGCGCCCUCCCCAGGCACUUUGACCUCCCCACGUGGCCAGAGUUUCCUGAGUGGCGUUGCCCUUCCACUGCUUUGCAAACCUGACUAAUACACGAGAAAAGUUUGUGGGGUUGCCUGGGGAUGGAUGUGGAAUCAGGGGAGGUGCCUCUGAGAGGGCAUGGCCAGCUGGCUCGUCCCCUUUCUCCUGUGGGCCUGAGGGUCCAGCUUCGUAAUCCUCCAGGGCGUUCCCAGAUCACGUUGCUUUAUGGCUGUCCAUGCCUGUGACCAGCUCUGGGUUCGAAUCCCGCCUCUACCCUUCCUGACGGGGCCUGUGCUGUGGUCAGUAACAAGGAGUAGGUCACAAGGAAGACGGCUGGAUCCCAGGAGCUCGUUGCUCGGGGUUUCUGCUCCCCGGUGGUGGCCUGCGGGGGCCUAGUGCCCACAGAAGGUGGCCCAGCACACAGAUGAGUGGUGCAGGGGAAGCUCUCAACCCUGAGCAGCAUCAGAGUCGUGGGGAUGGGGCUUCUUUCAAUCCGAUCUGGGGGGGGCCUGAGAAAGUGCCCCUCCAGCAAGGUGCCAGGUGCUGCCAGUCUGACGCCAUGGGAACUGCUGGAGGGCAUCAGGGCUGCUCAGAGUGGGUGCUCCAGAAGUGCAUUCUCUUCCUGUCUUGAGUCCCUGGGGCUGGUGGGGUUCUGGAGCCUCCGUGGACCUCAGGGGUGACCUGGUGCAUAUUCCCAGCCCAGGUUGACAAGCUCCUUCAGCAUCCAGGGCCUGGGGGCUGGCUGGAGGAUGGGCCAGGGUCUUUG